rfam:Ictidomys tridecemlineatus contig102224, whole genome shotgun sequence.
GGGGUUGUGGCUCAGUGGUAGAGCGCUUAUCUGACGUGUGAGGCACUGGGUUCAAUUCUCAGCACCA